rfam:Phanerochaete carnosa HHB-10118-sp unplaced genomic scaffold PHACAscaffold_3, whole genome shotgun sequence.
GGCCGCCCGGCGAAAUGGCAUCGCGUCUGACUACGAAUCAGGAGAUUGCAGGUUUGACCCCUGCGGUGGUCA